UACAGAGACUGCAAGCGUUAUUCGGAUUCACUGGGCGUAAAGGGUGCGCAGGCGGCCGAGUGUGUGAGGCGUGAAAGCCCGGGGCUUAACCCCGGAAUUGCACCUCAAACUACACGGCUAGAGCAUUGGAGAGGGUAGCAGAAUUCCUGGUGUAGCGGUGAAAUGCGCAGAUAUCGGGAGGAACACCGGUGGCGAAGGCGGGUCUCUGGGCCGAUACUGACGCUGAGGAGCGAAAGCGUGGGGAGCGAACAG
rnacentral:rRNA from 1 species